rnacentral:rRNA from 1 species
GUUGAUCCUGCGGGAGGCUGCUGCUAUUGGGAUUCGGAUAAACCAUGCAAGUCAGGGCUCUUCGGAGUCCGGCGAAAUGCUCAGUAACACGUCGAUAAUUUGCCCUUAGAUCCAGGAUAACCCCGGAAAACUGAGGCUAAAACUGAAUAGGAUAUAUGUUCUGAAAUGUCAUAUAUUUGAAAUGCAAAGUCUAAGGAUAAGUCGGCGGUUGAUUAGGUUGUUGGUGGGGUAAAGGCCCACCAAGCCAAAGAUCAAUAGGGGCCUUGAGAGAGGUUGCCCCGAGAAGGGAACUGAGACACUGUCCCUAGCCCUACGGGGUGCAGCAGGUACGAAAACUUUACAAUACACUAACGUGUGAUAAGGGAAUCCCAAGUGCCAAUGUUAUACAUUGGCUUUUUUCAAGGGUAAAAAUCUUGAAGAAUAAGUGGUGGGUAAGACUGGUGCCAGCCGCCGCGGUAACACCAGCGCCACGAGUGGGGGCCGCGAUUAUUGGGCCUAAAGCGUUCGUAGCCGGCUUAAUAAAUCUCUUGUGAAAUCGUUGAGCUUAACUUAACGGCAUGCAGGGGACACUAUUAAGCUUGAGACCAGGAGGAGUUAGAAGUAUUCCAUGGGGAGCGGUAAAAUGUUAUAAUCCAUGGAAGACUACCCGUGGCGAAGGCGUCUAACUAGAAUGGAUCCGACGGUGAGGAACGAAAGCCAGGGGAGCAAACCGGAUUAGAUACCCGAGUAGUCCUGGCUGUAAACGCUGCGAGCUAGGUGUUACAUAUUCUACGAGAAUAUGUAGUGUCGAAAUGAAGAUGUUAAGCUCGCCGCCUGGGAAGUAUGGUCGCAAGACUGAAACUUAAAGGAAUUGGCGGGGGAGCACCACAAGGGGUGCGGCGUGCGGUUUAAUUGAACUCAACGCCGGAAAUUUUACCAAGGGCGACGGCAGGAUGAAAGUCAGGCUAAAGACCUUACUCAACGAGCCGAGAGGAGGUGCAUGGCCGCCGUCAGCUCGUGCUGUAAAGUGUCCUCUUAAGUGAGGCAACGAGCGAGACCUGUACUUACAAUUGCCAUCGAUUGGCUUGCCGAGAUCGGGCACAUUGUGAGAACUGCCUUCGAAAGGAGGAGGAAGGUGCAGGCUACGGUAGGUCUGUAUGCCCCGAAUCCCUUGGGCAACACGCGCGCAACAAUGGUAAGGACAAUGGGAUACAACUCCGUAAGGAGAAGUUAAUCCUCUAAACCUUGCCUUAGUUCAGAUUGAGGGCUGUAACUCGCCCUCAUGACGUUGGAAUCCCUAGUAAUCGGAAGUCAACAUCCUCCGGUGAAUAUGUCCCUGCUCCUUGCACACACCGCCCGUCAAACCAUCCGAGCAGGGUUUAGGUGAGGAUUAGUUUUUUGAUUAAUACGAAUCUAAGCUCAGUGAGGAGGGUUAAGUCGUCACAAGGUA